rnacentral:misc_RNA from 1 species
GAUGAAGAACGCAGCGAAAUGCGAUACUUGGUGUGAAUUGCAGAAUCCCGUGAACCAUCGAGUCUUUGAACGCAAGUUGCGCCCGAAGCCAUUAGGCCGAGGGCACGCCUGCCUGGGUGUCACACACCGUUACCCUCGCGCCAACGUCCAUCGUUGGCCGCGGCGCGGGGCGUGCGCUGACCUCCCGCGAGCGGGGUCUCGUGGUUGGUUGAAAAUCGAGUUCGCGGUCGAGGGUGCCGUGAUGAAAUGGUGGAUGGGCGACGCCCGAGGCCAAUCACGCGCGACUCUGUCCGGCUUGGACUCCUGGACCCCUUCGGCGUCUCCGGACGCUCUUUGGCGAGACCUCAGGUCAGGCGGGGCUACCCGCUGAGUUUAAGCAUAUCAAUAAGCGGAGGA